GAUGAACGCUGGCGGCGUGCUUAACACAUUCAAGUCGUACGAACUGAUUCUGAAGCUUGCUUCGGAAGAAAGUUAGUGGCGGACGGGUGAGUAACGCGUGAGCAACCUGCCUUUGUGAGGGGGAUAACACAGGGAAACUUGUGCUAAUACCGCAUGAUGCAUAUGAAAGACAUCUUUAGUAUGUUAAAGGAGCAAUCCGCACAAAGAUGGGCUCGCGUCUGAUUAGAUAGUUGGUGGGGUAACGGCCUACCAAGUCGACGAUCAGUAGCCGGACUGAGAGGUUGAACGGCCACAUUGGAACUGAGAAACGGUCCAGACUCCUACGGGAGGCAGCAGUGGGGAAUAUUGGGCAAUGGGCGAAAGCCUGACCCAGCGACGCCGCGUGAGGGAAGAAGGUCUUCGGAUUGUAAACCUUUGUAGACAGGGAAGAAGAAAGUGACGGUACCUGUAAAGUAAGCACGGCUAACUACGUG
rnacentral:rRNA from 1 species